rnacentral:rRNA from 1 species
CCAAUAGCGUAUAUUAAGGUUGUUGCAGUUAAAAAGCUCGUAGUUGAAUUUCGGGAUUAAUUUAUUGGUCGUGCAAUCGUACGUACUGGUAUUAUUGAUUCCUACCUUCUGACGAACCAUGAUGUCAUUAAUUUGGUGUUAUGGGGAAUCAGGACUGUUACUUUGAAAAAAUUAGAGUGUUUAAAGCAGGCUCACGCUUGAAUACAUUAGCAUGGAAUAACGAAAUAGGACGUUUGAUUCUAUUUUGUUGGUUUCUAGGAUCGACGUAAUGAUUAAUAGUGAUAGUUGGGGGCAUUAGUAUUCAAUUGUCAGAGGUGAAAUUCUUGGAUUUAUUGAAGACUAACUACUGCGAAAGCAUUUGCCAAGGAUGUUUUCAUUAAUCAAGAACGAAAGUUAGGGGAUCGAAGACGAUCAGAUACCGUCGUAGUCUUAACCAUAAACUAUGCCGACUAGGGAUCGGAUGAUGUUAAUUUUUUAAUGACUCAUUCGGCGCCUUACA